rnacentral:rRNA from 1 species
UAACGAGAGGGGCAAGGCGUUAUUCAGAAUGAUUGGGCGUAAAGAGCUCGUAGGCGGUUUGUCGCGUCUGCUGUGAAAACUCGGGGCUUACUCGGGCCUGCAGUGGGUACGGGCAGACUAGAGUGCGGGUAGGGGGGGAUCUGGAAAUUCCGUGGUGUAGCGGGUGGAAAUGCGCAGAUAUCAGGAGGAACACCGGUGGCGAAGGCGGGAUCCUGGCCCAGUACUGACGCUGAGGAGCGAA